GGGAAGGGUGGUUCCAUGUUUUGACUUUGGAAAGAAAAACAAAAUUCAAUUUCUUUCUUUAAUUUGCUUGCGCCAUUGAUCCUGUUGCUUUUUUUUUUUUUUAUAAGUAAUUAGAUUAUAUUUUAGUUAAGGGUGGAGCAAAUUUCGAUAUUGGAGUUAUGAGUAGACCUGAUUAUGGGUUGGAUUACUCAUUCAGACUCGA
rnacentral:lncRNA from 1 species